AAUUAGCUUCAUGAAGUAGAAAAAAAAGAAGCAUAUAUGACACCUAAGAGGAGCUUACAUGAAGAGGCAGAGAGUGUAGUACAGCCAAGGAUGACUUGCCGGCCGGCGUUAGUGAAGGCAAAGGCAAAUGAUCAUUCAUGUUCAUGCAUGCAUAUUCUCCGGCCGGCAAGUUUUUCCUUGGCUAUAUUGGACUUUCUUCUUCUCAUGCAAGUACCACAGUUAGGCGAGGCCGGUUUAACCAUUGAAUCAGGAAGUAUUUCCCUAUCUACGUAUGAGAUAAUUGCAACUUUGUUGAUGAUUAUACUAAGCCAUAGAGACAAUGUGAAAGCAAUUCAAAGUUCAAACCACAUUUAGAUGAUUUGAUGAGAGUCUGAAACUGAGAGACAGAGUGAAGAGAAUGAAUAACCAAACUUAUUUCUUACAGAAUAUAAGUGAUUUCUUAUAUACAUAUAUCAGGGUGUUUUUAUGGUUUUUACAUGUUGGAAAUGCGUAUUUAUCUGUGACCUGCCAAUAUAGCUAGCCAAGUCCAAAUAUUGUGCAUGCAUGCAUGUACAUUUAGGUCAAAAUUAUUAUUUCUUUCUUGUCAAAGGUAUCCUUCAUGCAAAAUCAGUCCAUUACUGAUAUUUGUGCAGUCAUGGCAUAGAUUUUAUGGAUGCUUCAAUGAAUAGUACUCCUGGUUCAUCAAUACUUGCAUAUUAUAACACUUGUAUUUGGCACUUAGAAAAUGCUUCAAACAUGAGCUAAUUAGUAUUUGUACUUCGUUAUGUUCAGAUAUCUAAAUUUAAGAUUUCUGUCACAAGAUC